AUUGAACGCUAGCGGAAGGCUUCACACAUGAAAGUCGAACGAGUGGCGGACGGGUGAGUAAUGUAUGGGAAACUGCAUGGUGGAGGGGGAUAACUACUGGAACCAGUGGCUAAUACCGCAUACAAUCAGAUGUGCCCAGAUGGGAUUAGCUGGUUGGUGGGGUAACGGCUCACCAAGGCAACGAUCCCUAGAUGGUAUGAGAGGUUGGCCAGCAAAACGGGAAUUGAGACCGGGGCCAGACGCCGACGGGAGGCAGCAGCGGGGAAUUUUGGACAAGGGUGGCAAGCCUGAUGCAGCCAUGCCGCGUGUAUGAAGAAGGCGUUCGGGUUGUAAAGUACUUUCAGCGGGGAGGCGGUAACCGAAGAAUAAGCACCGGCUAACUCCGUGCCAGCAGCCGCGGUAAUUC
rnacentral:rRNA from 1 species